UUGUAUGGACUCUGACCCCAUCAUUGUGCUCUUCUCCAGGAGUUUGCACCCUCAGAUGAAGAGCUAGACUCCUACCGUCGUGGAGAGGAAUGGGAUCCCCAGAAGGCUGAGGAGAAGCGGAAGCUGAAGGAGCUGGCUCAGAGGCAGGAGGAGGAGGCAGCCCAGCAGGGGCCCGUGGUGGUGAGCCCUGCUAGCGACUACAAGGACAAGUACAGCCACCUCAUCGGCAAGGGAGCAGCGAAAGACGCAGCGCACAUGCUGCAGGCCAAUAAAACCUACGGCUGUGUGCCCGUGGCCAAUAAGAGGGACACACGCUCCAUUGAAGAGGCUAUGAAUGAGAUCAGAGCCAAGAAACGUCUGCGGCAGAGUGGGGAAGAGUUGCCACCAACCUCCUAGGCACCCCGCCCAGCUCCCUUUGACCCCUGGGGCAGGGCAGGGGGCAGGGAGGGACUAGGCUGCUGCUAUUAGAACCCAUCCUGGAGCCCCACCUCUGAACCGCCUCCUACCAGCUGUCCCGCGGGCUGGAGGACAACAGGUGUUUGAUUUGUCACUGUUGGAGCGUGGAUAGGUGCGUGGUGUGUGUGUGUGUGUGAGAGUGUGGAUGCACAGCGGGUAUUUAAUCUGUAUGAUUCCCUGUUCUUGGAAUUUUCUUCCCCAUGGGGCUGGGGUACUUUACAUUCAAUAAAUGCUGUUUAACCCAA